rnacentral:rRNA from 1 species
AGUGAACGCUGGCGGUAGGCCUAACACAUGCAAGUCGAACGGCAGCACAGUAAGAGCUUGCUCUUACGGGUGGCGAGUGGCGGACGGGUGAGGAAUACCUCGGAAUCUACUUUUUCGUGGGGGAUAACGUAGGGAAACUUACGCCAAUACCGCAUACGACCUACGGGUGAAAGCAGGGGAUCUUCGGACCUUGCGCGAGUGAAUGAGCCGAUGUCGGAUUAGCUAGUUGGCGGGGUAAAGGCCCACCAAGGCGACGAUCCGUAGCUGGUCUGAGAGGAUGAUCAGCCACACUGGAACUGAGACACGGUCCAGACUCCUACGGGAGGCAGCAGUGGGGAAUAUUGGACAAUGGGCGCAAGCCUGAUCCAGCCAUACCGCGUGGGUGAAGAAGGCCUUCGGGUUGUAAAGCCCUUUUGUUGGGAAAGAAAAGCAGCAGGUUAAUACCCCGCUGUUCUGACGGUACCCAAAGAAUAAGCACCGGCUAACUUCGUG